rnacentral:rRNA from 1 species
CCUACGGGUGGCAGCAGUGGGGAAUAUUGGACAAUGGGCGAAAGCCUGAUCCAGCCAUGCCGCGUGUGUGAAGAAGGCCUUCGGGUUGUAAAGCACUUUCAGUGGGGAAGAAAGCCUUGGGGCUAAUACCCUCGAGGAAGGACAUCACCCACAGAAGAAGCACCGGCUAACUCCGUGCCAGCAGCCGCGGUAAUACGGAGGGUGCGAGCGUUAAUCGGAAUUACUGGGCGUAAAGCGCGCGUAGGCGGUCUGAUAAGCCGGUUGUGAAAGCCCCGGGCUCAACCUGGGAACGGCAUCCGGAACUGUCAGGCUAGAGUGCAGGAGAGGAAGGUUGAAUUCCCGGUGUAGCGGUGAAAUGCGUAGAGAUCGGGAGGAAUACCAGUGGCGAAGGCGGCCUUCUGGACUGACACUGACGCUGAGGUGCGAAAGCGUGGGUAGCAAACAGGAUUAGAUACCCCUGUAGUC